AUUGUAGGCUGCAACUCGCCUACAUGAAGUCGGAAUUGCUAGUAAUCGCGGAUCAGCAUGCCGCGGUGAAUACGUUCCCGGGCCUUGUACACACCGCCCGUCACACCACGAGAGCCGGUAACACCCGAAGUCAGUAGCCUAACCGCAAGGGGGGCGCUGCCGAAGGUGGGAUUGGUAAUUGGGGUGAAGUCGUAACAAGGUACC
rnacentral:rRNA from 1 species